UACGAAGGGGGCUAGCGUUGCUCGGAAUCACUGGGCGUAAAGGAUGCGUAGGUGGUUAGGUAAGUCCGAUGUGAAAUCUCCAGGCUCAACCUGGAAAUGGCAUUGGAUACUAUUUAGCUUGAGGAGUGGAGGGGGGACUGGAAUUCUCGGUGUAGCAGUGAAAUGCGCAGAUAUCAGGAGGAACACCAAUGGCGAAGGCAGCUCGCUGGGACGGUACUGACGCUGGAGACGCGAAAGCGUGGGGAGCAAACAGG
rnacentral:rRNA from 1 species